ACAUAAUUAAAUCGGGACAAAAAAAAUUAACGAGCAAUGCUUCAGUGUAAGUGCAAGAGAAUUGUCUAAUUAUAAGAAAGCCCAAGAGUAAGUUGUGUGAGGUUGACGACGAUGCUUAAAGGCAAUCGACUUGCAAGGGUGUGGAGAUGAGGAAAUUGCAGCUAAGUACUGUGCUCAAAACCGGUUUAUGCAUCAUGUCAACAUUGAAUGAUCAUGUGCGACCAACUGAAACGCGGUGAAAUUCUAUUGUUAUCUCGAUGAAAUAAUCAUGGAUAAACAACAUAAGAGUGGUUGAAUCCAUAAAUUAAAAUCAAUGCUUCGUCAAUUAAAAUAAAUAAAAGCGGUAAACAUUAAAAAACAAUGAGUAUCGGAGAAAUUAUAAUAAAACAUGAACAUGGGAGGAUUAAAAAGAAUAACGUAAAAAGAAAUUAAAGUGUUGCAAAACCAAACAUGCCACAGACCAUGAGUUACCAUCUCCACCUAACCAUGAGUUACCAGUUAUCAAACUAGGACCAACAAAAACCUAAAUACUAAGCUGAAACUUCAAAAGAGAAAAAAACAAACAAAAAGGCCAACUAAUGGCCCGUUGGAGUAAGUUGGGCCAAAGCCCACGACAAUGGCCAUAUCUUGAAAAUGGAACAGGUCAAGAGUCCAACUGUCACCCUAGCCGCCUGGCUGUUUGGUGACAGAAACCGAAGAGUCCAACGGUCACACUAUAAUGCCAACUGUCGGUAUUAAUGAAUGGUGGUUGUAAUAGAAAGCCACACGAGUCCCAAUGGCACAGCAAACGAGCAGACAAUAAAUGGUUUCAAUCAUUUCAAAUGAAAAAGUAAUAAAAUAAAAUACAGGACAAUGUUUAAAGAGGAAUCAGUAAUGAAUAGUAAAAAUAAACGAAUCUCUUCCCUAAACGAAACCCAAAUUAUUUUCAGAGAAAAAAAUGAACCUUCUCAAUUUGAGGAGAUCCAAAAAUGGAUGACUGCGACAACGACGAACGUCGACGACGGAGAUGAAACCCGACUGGAAAGCAACAAAAAGAAUUAUUUACAAAGAGGUCAAAUGACGAUUGGGCGGCGGACGCCUGAAUCUUUCAGUCUUUCACCAAUCGAUUCCCACCGGUGCACUCAAAACUCGCCUCCCUUGCCUUCGGUAUGAGCUUCGUCCAAUGGCGGUGAAAAAAGGGUUUGUGUCUUCUUAUAGGUGCGAACAAAUGGGGACCACGGGAGUGGAUUGGAAGUUCCCAGUGGUAAAUAAUUGCUUUCUCAACCUUGUGGUCCCUCUGCUCAACUCUUCCACUCGUCCUUUUACCGUCGGUAACAAACAAAUUACCUCCCUUCCUCACUUAGACGAAAUAGGAUAUGCUUCUUCUUCUUUUUUUCUUUUCGAAAUUACACUGAUUUCAUGUUGUUGUUAAUUUGGAGAACAAGGUGCCGUGCUGAAUUUAGGAUGAUGAUUGCAAGCGAUAUGGACAAUGGAACCUAAGUUGGAGCAAACUUUUGCCACACACGGAUAAUUACGAGCAGGAUAAGUGAGAGUUUCAAGUACUUUCCGCGAGAGUAAUGGAUGGACUCCAUCAGAAGAUUGAGGACGUGAGUACGUGACCAUACAAUCUGAACAGUGGCUCAAAAAGGAUAGCAGAACUGGCAGGCUUUCUCGCAUCAAGCAUCAACAAGUCCAUCAGAAUUCUCACCAAAGAUUGCUCUUGCUUCACUAUGAGCACAAGGAUUUAAAAGGGACCUCUGCAGUUUGGCCCUUCUGCUUGUUAUCAAGUUAGUACUGGUCUGAGUUUUGACUUGCUUCAAUAGCCCGAAUAAGCAUAUGGUGGUUGGAAGAAGUUAUAGACACUUUGGUGCCAAGACUAAAACCAGGCGUGUUGUUACACUGUUGUCCAAUUACUGUAGAAUUGGUACGGCUUGAGAUAUAGAGAACAAUAUUUGGAAGAGGUUCUACGUCGUGAUUAGCAGAUCACCCUGUCAUAACUGUAUAUAAAUCAAUCCAUUCUUUGACAAUAACUGAUGAGUUAGAUGGUUAACCAAUUCAGAAACGUCCAGUCUUUGAUCUUCCCUACAAAAACUCUAGCAGCUUCUGUACAAGAUAGUUUCUCAAAAGGAAUCAUCAUCAGGUGACGACCAACAUUCUGAUCCCUCGCCGUAUGAAUCAUGUGGCUUUGAGUAUGAUAUCGUGGCACCACAACCAGUUACGAAUCCUGUUCUAACAGGAAAAUGACGAGAAAAUUGAAGAAUUAUUCUCAACCCUCCUUGUGAGUAUGGAUAUUUUAAAGCAAUGGUAGCACCGCUCAAGAAUGAAUUUCGGCCUCUUUUCAUGUCAUUCACUUGAAAUUAAUAUCACGUUUAAAAACCAAGGCUUCCCAAUAUCUGUAUACGGAUAAAGGGAUUGAGGAAGCUGAUGAUAAUAAAGUGGUGAUGCAGGAACGUUGUUGUACGUGAUAAAAUUCGUAGGAAGAUGAUUUUCCAUUGCAAAAGAAAGACCUUGUUGGUGAAGCAUGCACCGGUCGAUGUUGUGGCUCACAACUUAAUUUUUUGUAAAUCUGUAGGUUUAUGACUUGUAAUGACCAUAAUGUUGAUGUGAAUGAAAAAUAGGUAACGUUGCAAUCA